rnacentral:rRNA from 1 species
UUCGGAGCUAGAGACCGGCGCACGGGUGCGUAACGCGUAUGCAACCUACCUUUCACAGGGGGAUAGCCCAGAGAAAUUUGGAUUAAUACCCCAUGGUAUAUUAGUAUGGCAUCAUAUUAUUAUUAAAGUUCCAACGGUGAAAGAUGGGCAUGCGUCCCAUUAGCUAGAUGGUAAGGUAACGGCUUACCAUGGCGACGAUGGGUAGGGGUCCUGAGAGGGAGAUCCCCCACACUGGUACUGAGACACGGACCAGACUCCUACGGGAGGCAGCAGUGAGGAAUAUUGGUCAAUGGGCGCAAGCCUGAACCAGCCAUGCCGCGUGCAGGAUGAAGCAUCUAUGGUGUGUAAACUGCUUUUAUACGGGAAGAAACCCUGCCACGUGUGGCAGAUUGACGGUACCGUAAGAAUAAGGACCGGCUAACUCCGUGCCAGCAGCCGCGGUAAUACGGAGGGUCCAAGCGUUAUCCGGAAUCAUUGGGUUUAAAGGGUCCGUAGGCGGUCAGGUAAGUCAGUGGUGAAAGCCCAUCGCUCAACGGUGGAACGGCCAUUGAUACUGCCUGACUUGAAUUACUGGGAAGUAACUAGAAUAUGUAGUGUAGCGGUGAAAUGCUUAGAUAUUACAUGGAUACCAAUUGCGAAGGC